rnacentral:tRNA from 1 species
GGUGGCUCAGUGGUAGAGCACUUGCCUUGCAUGCAUGAGGCCGUGGGUUCGAAUCCUCAGCACCA